rnacentral:misc_RNA from 1 species
AAGUCGUAACAAGGUUUCCGUAGGUGAACCUGCGGAAGGAUCAUUAUCGAGUAUUUGAAAGAGGUUGUAGCUGGCCUUUCGGGGCAUUGUGCACGCCUUGCUCAAUUCCAACUCUUUAACACCUGUGCACUCAUUGUAGGUUGGUUCAUUAGCGGAAACGCUAAGAGACCUUCCUAUGUUUAUAACAAACUCUUUGUUGUAUUAUGAAUGUAUCACUGCGCUUUUAAUAACGCAUUAAAUAUAACUUUCAGCAACGGAUCUCUUGGCUCUC